rnacentral:rRNA from 1 species
AGUGAACGCUGGCGGUAGGCCUAACACAUGCAAGUCGAACGGCAGCACAGUAAGAGCUUGCUCUUACGGGUGGCGAGUGGCGGACGGGUGAGGAAUACAUCGGAAUCUACUUUUUCGUGGGGGAUAACGUAGGGAAACUUACGCUAAUACCGCAUACGACCUACGGGUGAAAGCAGGGGAUCUUCGGACCUUGCGCGAUUGAAUGAGCCGAUGUCGGAUUAGCUAGUUGGCGGGGUAAAGGCCCACCAGGGCGACGAUCCGUAGCUGGUCUGAGAGGAUGAUCAGCCACACUGGAACUGAGACACGGUCCAGACUCCUACGGGGGGCAGCAGUGGGGAAUAUUGGACAAUGGGCGCAAGCCUGAUCCAGCCAUACCGCGUGGGUGAAGAAGGCCUUCGGGUUGUAAAGCCCUUUUGUUGGGAAAGAAAAGCAGCAGGUUAAUACCCCGCUGUUCUGACGGUACCCAAAGAAUAAGCACCGGCUAACUUCGUG